GUAGCCAGGUGCCUGAUGAGGGCAGCCAUUUUGGACCCAGGGAUAUAAGCUGGGCUGCAGUUUGCAGCAGGAGGAAGGAGGAAACAUCAGGCUGAGAGGCUGGUUUGGCCAUAGUCAGUAGCCAAUAAAUGGCCUAUGCAUGCACGCAGCUGCAGCGUGCAUGGGACCAGAAGCACAGCCCAGCUUGGAGAGCUGCAUCCAGCUGAUCCCUAAAAAAUCUUGAAUAGAGGGCCGGACCUCUUUGAAUUGGGAAGAAAGGAGGUUCCAAGAGAACUGGAAGGGAAGGCUGCAUAGACCUUAAACAAAAUGCAGCAGCAGGAAGAGCAAACAAAAAGACCUGCCAAAGGGGAAAAAAAGGAAUAAAGAGGGGUUGUGAACACCCUCAGGGAGGGGCAUACCACCUGCAUUUGAUUUCAGUCAAUGAAGGCUUCUCACUGCAUUGUGACUUGAAGAGUUGUUUAUAAACUGCAUCACUGAGUUUAUCUCCAUUUGGUUGGAAGUCUCUAGGCAAAGCUCUAUGGUUUUGUCAGGCAGGAGGGUGAUGGGACAGCAAGCAGCUGUUGCUGAUGGACAUUGGGUCAAAUUGUACUAACAGCAAGCUUGGCAUUGUAGAGUACACAGAGGAAAGGCAGUCUUUCCCUACCUACCUGCCCCCAUCCUCCCCUGUGGACUUUGCAGUGUCAAAGAGGCAAGCAACACAACAAACACAUAAGCCAAAAAAUCAGCAGAUGCCUGGGCAGAAACAGAACAUACCAGUAAAAGGCCAAGCUUACUCUCAAGGACUUAUCAACAGAAUUAGAAAAGGCACAGAGAAGGGCAACCAAAAUGAUCAGCAGUAUGGAGUAGUUGCCACACCAAGAGAGCCUAAUAGGCUAGGACUCUUUGGUUUGGAAAGAAGGCUGAGGGGGGGUAUAUUAUAGAGGUCUAUAAAAUCAUAAAGGCUGUGGCAAAGUGAGCAGGGAACUGUUACUUACCAAGUCCCAGAAUAGUAGAACUAGGGAGCACCCACUGAAAUUAAUAGGCAACAGCUUUUAACUAAAAGAGAAGGUUUUUUCUACAACACAUGCUAACUCAUAGAUUUCAUUGCUCCAGAGGAGGUGGAGGCUGCUGGCACUAGAUUUAUGACCCAGAUACCUUGUUCUGGGCAGACCCAAACUCUCAGACUGACCACAACCUCUCUAUUAGAUAAUAGGCAAAUUUUAUUGAUAUAUAGUGACAGACGAUAAGAAUACUGCAAAGAAUUUUAUUAGGGCUGACAAAUGAUUAAAAAAAUAAUCGCGAUUAGUUGCAAGAUUAAAAAAAAGUUGCAAUUAAUCUCAAUCUUAAUCUCACAGUUAAACAAGUCAGUACCCCUCACCCAACAGCCCAGAGCCCG